rnacentral:rRNA from 1 species
UACGUAGGGGGCAAGCGUUGUCCGGAUUUAUUGGGCGUAAAGAGCGUGUAGGCGGCUUGGUAGGUCCGCUGUGAAAACUCGAGGCUCAACCUCGAGAUGUCGGCGGAAACCACUUGGCUAGAGUCCGGAAGAGGAGAGUGGAACUCCUGGUGUAGCGGUGAAAUGCGCAGAUAUCAGGAAGAACACCUAUGGCGAAGGCAGCUCUCUGGGACGGUACUGACGCUGAGACGCGAAAGCGUGGGGAGCAAACAGG